rnacentral:misc_RNA from 1 species
CACUCUUCCUGGGAAGUCUUUGAUUGUUCUACCCACACAUUGUUGGUAGUCAUUUAUAGGCUCAUUGCUUCCAGUGUUGAAAGAACUGGCUGAAUCCGUCUUAUCAUUCCAACCAAGUGAGAGUUUCCCAUGGAACCCAUUUGUAAGCAAUCUAUUACCUAGUUCAAGAAUACGUGAUGAAUUCUUUCCGUUCUCUUGACCAGCUAAAAUAGG